rnacentral:rRNA from 1 species
GACGAACGCUGGCGGCGUGCCUAAUACAUGCAAGUCGAACGCAGUGGGGACGGGUGAGUAACACGUGGGUAACCUCCCAUCAGAGGGGAUAACACUUGGAAACAGGUGCUAAACCGCUACUGAUGGGUGGACCCGCGGUGCAUUAGCUAGUUGGUGAGGUAACGGCUCACCAAGGCCACGAUGCAUAGCGGACCUGAGAGGGUGAUCGGCAACACUGGGACUGAGACACGGCCUAGACUCCUGCGGAAGGCAGCAGUGGGGAAUCUGCGGCAAUGGACGAAAGUCUGACCGAGCAACGCCGCGUGAGGGAAGAAGGUUUGCGGAUUGUAAAACUCUGUUGUUAGAGAAGCGGUAUCUGACCAGAAAGCAACGGCUAACUACGUGCCAGCAGCCGCGGUAAUUC